UGCAAGGUGGUUGAGAUUAAACAAUAAACUGUAAAUUUAUAUACGGGUAAAUCCCUCUUGUGU
rnacentral:tRNA from 1 species